rnacentral:rRNA from 1 species
GACGAACGCUGGCGGCGUGCUUAACACAUGCAAGUCGAACGGAAAGGCCCUGCUUUUGUGGGGUGCUCGAGUGGCGAACGGGUGAGUAACACGUGAGUAACCUGCCCUUGACUUUGGGAUAACUUCAGGAAACUGGGGCUAAUACCGGAUAGGAGCUCCUGCUGCGUGGUGGGGGUUGGAAAGUUUCGGCGGUUGGGGAUGGACUCGCGGCUUAUCAGCUUGUUGGUGGGGUAGUGGCUUACCAGGGCUUUGACGGGUAGCCGGCCUGAGAGGGUGACCGGCCACAUUGGGACUGAGAUACGGCCCAGACUCCUACGGGAGGCAGCAGUGGGGAAUAUUGCACAAUGGGCGGAAGCCUGAUGCAGCAACGCCGCGUGCGGGAUGACGGCCUUCGGGUUGUAAACCGCUUUCGCCUGUGACGAAGCGUGAGUGACGGUAAUGGGUAAAGAAGCACCGGCUAACUACGUG